UACGUAGGGACCAAGCGUUGUUCGGAUUUACUGGGCGUAAAGGGCGCGUAGGCGGCCACCGCAAGUCGGUUGUGAAAUCUCCGGGCUUAACCCGGAAAGGUCAAUCGAUACUGCGGGGCUAGAGUGCAGAAGGGGCAACUGGAAUUCUCGGUGUAGCGGUGAAAUGCGUAGAUAUCGAGAGGAACACCUGCGGCGAAGGCGGGUUGCUGGGCUGACACUGACGCUGAAGCGCGAAAGCUAGGGGAGCGAACGGG
rnacentral:rRNA from 1 species